rnacentral:miRNA from 1 species
AGUAGUAGUAUCUGGUUCACU